rnacentral:rRNA from 1 species
CAUGCAGUCGACGAUGAAGGAGGAGCUUGCUCCUCCGGAUUAGUGGCGAACGGGUGAGUAAUACGUGAGCAAUGUGCCCUUGACUCUGGGAUAAGCGCUGGAAACGGCGUCUAAUACCGGAUACGACCCUCGGAGGCAUCUCCUGAUGGUGGAAAGAACUUCGGUCAAGGAUCAGCUCACGGCCUAUCAGCUAGUUGGUGAGGUAACGGCUCACCAAGGCGACCACGGGUAGCCGGCCUGAGAGGGUGACCGGCCACACUGGGACUGAGACACGGCCCAGACUCCUACGGGAGGCAGCAGUGGGGAAUAUUGCACAAUGGGCGCAAGCCUGAUGCAGCAACGCCGCGUGAGGGACGAAGGCCUUCGGGUUGUAAACCUCUUUUAGCAGGGAAGAAGCGAAAGUGACGGUACUUGCAAAAAAAGCACCGGCUAACUACGUGCCAGC